CCCUACAGUUCUUGCCUGAAUUCCGAAUGAAGCCAAGCAUGGUUGAACCUGGCCAGUACCUGGAUGGGAGACCUCCUGGGGAAAACUGAGGUUGCUGUUGGAA
rnacentral:rRNA from 1 species